rnacentral:rRNA from 1 species
GCAUAUCAAUAAGCGGAGGAAAAGAAACCAACAGGGAUUGCCCUAGUAACGGCGAGUGAAGCGGCAACAGCUCGAAUUUGAAAUCUGGCCUCGGCCCGAGUUGUAAUCUGUAGAGGACGCUUUUGGCGCGGUGCCUUCCGAGUUCCCUGGAACGGGACGCCACAGAGGGUGAGAGCCCCGUAAGGUCGGACACUAAGCCUCUGUAAAGCUCCUUCGACGAGUCGAGUAGCUUGGGAAUGCUGCUCUAAGCGGGAGGUAAACUUCUUCUAAAGCUAAAUACUGGCCAGAGACCGAUAGCGCACAAGUAGAGUGAUCGAAAGAUGAAAAGCACUUUGAAAAGAGGGUUAAAUAGUACGUGAAAUUGUUGAAAGGGAAGCGCUCAUGACCAGACUUGCGCCUGGCGGAUCAUCCGGUGGUCUCCACCGGUGCACUCCGCCUGGCGCAGGCCAGCGUCGGCUGUUGCGGGGGGACAAAAGCUCUGGGAACGUAGCUCUCUCCGGGGAGUGUUAUAGCCCUCUGCAGAAUACCCCCGCGGCGGCCGAGGUCCGCGCUCUGCAAGGACGCUGGCGUAAUGGUCAUCAGCGACCCGUCUUGAAACACGGACC